CCUACGGGCGGCAGCAGUAGGGAAUCUUCCACAAUGGGCGAAAGCCUGAUGGAGCAACGCCGCGUGGGUGAAGAAGGUCUUCGGAUCGUAAAACCCUGUUGUUAGAGAAGACAGUGCGUGAGAGUAACUGUUCACGUUUCGACGGUAUCUAACCAGAAAGCCACGGCUAACUACGUGCCAGCAGCCGCGGUAAUACGUAGGUGGCAAGCGUUAUCCGGAUUUAUUGGGCGUAAAGGGAACGCAGGCGGUCUUUUAAGUCUGAUGUGAAAGCCUUCGGCUUAACCGGAGUAGUGCAUUGGAAACUGGGAGACUAGAGAGCAGAAGAGGAGAGUGGAACGCCAUGUGUAGCGGGGAAAUGCGUAGAUAUAUGGAAGAACACCAGUGGCGAAAGCGGCUCUCUGGUCUGUAACUGACGCUGAGGUUCGAAAGCGUGGGUAGCAAACAGGAUUAGAUACCCCUGUAGUC
rnacentral:rRNA from 1 species